rnacentral:rRNA from 1 species
AUCAUAGCGGGUGGAAAAGAAAAUACCCAUGAUUCCCUUUAGUAACGGCGAGUGAAGUGGGAAGUGCUCAAAUUUAAAAUCCCUUUUGGGAGUUGUAAUUUAUAGAAUAAAUGGUUAGUAAGUGGAGAUUAAAGUCUGCUGGAAAGCAUGCGCUAGAAAGGGUGAUAGCCCCGUUCAGUCUCUUAACUUGCUUCUAUAUCAUUAUUUCGAAGAGUCAGGUUGCUUGGGAAUGCAGCCUAAAUUUGGUGGUAAACUCCAUCUAAAGCUAAAUAUUGAUCAGUGACCGAUAGCAAACAAGUACCGUGAGGGAAAGAUGAAAAGAACCUUGAAAAGGGGGUUAAAAGUACGUGAAAUUGUUAUUAGGAAAGCACUUAGUCUUAUUGUGGAUUAUUACAGUCUGUUUCGGCAGAUACUGUUUUAAUUAGUUAUGAUCAGUUAAAGUUGAUAAAGAAAAUUUAUGAUAAGGUAUUAGUGUAAUGCUAAACUUAAAGAUCAUUUGUUAUUUAUCGAUAUUGACUGAGGAAUGCUACUUAAUCUUUUUGAGUUAUUAGUUUGUGGAGUUAAGUUAAACAACAUGUUGAUUAGCUUAAUUAAAGCAAUCUAUUAGCUUUAAAACUUAAGUACAGGAUCAUAAUUAAAUGAUACUAAAUGACCCGUCUUGAAACACGGACCAAGGAGUCUAACAUGAUUGCGAGUUACAGGGUGAAAAACCUUUGAGCGCAAUGAAAGUGAUAAAGAUAGGAUAGGUUAAACUUGCACUAUCAACCUAAACUGAUGAUUUUUUUCUGACGUUUUAGAGUUAGAGCAGUCAUGUUGGGACCCGAAAGAUGGUGAGCUAUGCUUUGAAUAGGGCAAAGCCAGAGGAAACUCCUGGUGGAGGGCUCGUAGCGAUUUCUGACGUGCAAAUCCGAUCGUCAAAUUUGAGCAUAGGGGCCGAAAGACUAAUCGAACCUUCUAAUGGCCUGGGUUCCUGCA